rnacentral:rRNA from 1 species
AUUGAACGCUGGCGGCAGGCCUAACACAUGCAAGUCGAGCGGAGCGGCGGACGGGUGCGUAAUGCCUAUGUAUCUGCCUGGUCGUGGGGGAUAACGUCCUGCACCGGGCGCUAAUACCGCAUACUAUCAGAUGAGCCUAGGGCGGUUUAGCUAGGUGGUGGGGUAAAGGGCUACCAAGGCGACGGUCCGUAACUGGUCUGAGAGGAUGAUCAGGCACACUGGAACUGAGACACGGUCCAGAAUCCUACGGGAGGCAGCAGUGGGGAAUAUUGGACAAUGGGCGAAAGCCUGAUCCAGCCAUGCCGCGUGUUUGAAGAAGGUCUUCGGAUUGUAAAGCACUUUAAGUUGGGAGGCGUUACCAACAGAAUAAGCACCGGCUAACUUCGUGCCAGCAGCCGCGGUAAUUC